UCGGGUAUGGUGUAACGGCUAACAUUGCCGCCUCUCAAGUACCGUGCACGCGGCAGCUCGGGGUUCGAUUCCCCGUACCCGAA